rnacentral:rRNA from 1 species
AGCAGCCGCGGUAAUUCCAGCUCCAAUAGCGUAUAUUAAAGUUGUUGCAGUUAAAAAGCUCGUAGUUGAAUUUCGGGGUUCUACCGUUGGUCAGGCUAUUGUCUGUACUGGCGUGUAGAAUUUCUACCUUCUGGGGAACUAUCAUGUUAUUAAUUUAGCGUGGUAGGAAACCAGGACCUUUACCUUGAAAAAAUUAGAGUGUUCAAAGCAGGCUUAUGUCUGAAUACAUUAGCAUGGAAUAAUAAAAUAGGACGGUGGUCCUGUUUUGUUGGUUUCUGAAUCACCGUAAUGAUUAAUAGGGAUAGUUGGGGGCAUUAGUAUUCAAUUGUCAGAGGUGAAAUUCUUGGAUUUAUUGAAGACUAACUACUGCGAAAGCAUUUGCCAAGGAUGUUUUCAUUAAUCAAGAACGAAAGUUAGGGGAUCGAAGACGAUCAGAUACCGUCGUAGUCUUAACCAUAAACUAUGCCGACUAGGGAUCGGAUGAUGUUAAUUUUUUAAUGUACUCAUUCGGCGCCUUACG